AGAUAAUCUAUUUUAAUGGAAAAACUUGUCCCACUCUGCCCAAACCCCAAAGGGAUUAGUUUUCUGUUUUCGUGCAUUGAGUAUUUUCUUGAACAUGAUUGGCUAAUUAAACCAACAAAGCUUUGUUUUCUGAUGAGAAAGACUUUGGCAGGGUUGUUUAUAAAUUGUGACACAGGCAGAGCUAGCUAGUCAAUUAUCUUAUUGAAUAUUCGGCACACCCCUUUUUUGUUUUGGUGAAUUAAUCUACACACCCCUUGGUGGAGAAUUAUAACUAAGGUCUACUUAAAUAUCUCUUUGCAUACUUAAUUGUUCUCUUACCUAAAGUUCUUUUGUUCAGUUUGCAGACCUUCUAACAGCGUGCAAUCAAGAAAGAUGCCACCAAACUUGCAGGCCUUCUAACAUGGAGCCACAGUGUGCAAUCAAGAAAGAUGCCACUGAAUUAAUAGGUAAUACCCCAAUGGUAUACCUGAACAACAUAGUGGAGGGAUGUGUGGCCCGCAUUGCUGCUAAGUUAGAGUCCAUGCAACCAUGCUUCAGUAUCAAAGAUAGGACAGCAUUUAGCAUGAUCAAAGAUGCUGAGGAUAAAGGCCUCAUUACACCGGGAAAGAGUGUUCUUGUUGAGGCAACAAGUGGCAACACGGGCAUUGGAAUGGCAUUCGUAGCAACAUUAAAGGGGUAUAAAGUUAUAGUGGCUAUGCCAGCUUCUGUGAGUCUUGAGAGAAAAAUUGUACUUGGAGCCUUCGGAGCUGAGGUCUAUCUCACCGACCCUACCAAAGGAACCAAUGCUGUUCUUAGGAAGGCCGAGGAGAUAGUGAAUAACACGCCCGGGAGUUAUAUGCUCCGCCAGAUUGAUAAUCCUGCUAAUCCAAAAAUUCAUUACGAGACCACUGGGCCUGAGAUUUGGAGAGACUCGGGAGGGAAAGUUGAUGCUUUGGUUGCAGGGGUAGGAACAGGGGGUACCAUAACGGGUGCUGGCAGAUUCCUCAAGGAGAGAAACCCCAAUGUCAAGCUGUACGGCGUAGAACCAGUUGAAAGUGCAGUCCUCAGUGGAGGACCGCCAGGUGAUCACCAAAUCCAAGGAAUUGGUAAUGGUCUCAUUCCAAGUGUACUGGAUGUUAAUCUACUAGAUGAAGUUAUUCAGAUUUCAAGUGAAGAAGCUAUAGAAACUGCUAGGCUUCUUGCUUUAAAAGAAGAUGGGAAUUUCAUCAGGAGCCGCAGCUGCAGCUGCCAUAAAAUUGGGGAAAAAACCAGAAAAUGCUGGAAAACUAAUCGUUAUUUGGAUCUUCUAGACAAUAAAGGUCAUUCCAUUCUCCAGCAUGUCCAAUUGUCCUUUCCAAAUUCCUAUCCUGAAACACACAACAAUUGUUGGGACAAAACAGCAUUAUAUGACAAAUCUUGAGUAAGUUUUUGUAAAAGACGUUGGUGGACAAUUUUGGAACAUGAAGGACAGUUUUCAAGAUCAUUGAUGGGACAGCUAUAAGAGUUCCCUCUGCUAUGGCAAUUUUCUUAUUGAUGGGGCAUGUGAUGAUAGGUGAAGUUAGUUAAGUGUGUAAUAUGGUCAGUGGCUCAAGAUUCUAGUAUCCAAUGAUGGUUAAAGGAUGCGUCUGAGACAUUUAGUCCAAAAGAAAAUGGAAGCUUAUUUGAGUAUGCCAAAGAAUAUGCACCUGUGGUAUUUCCUAGUUACGGGGAGCGUUAUUUAUCUUCACCAUUGUUUGAAUCCAUUCGGCAUGAAGCUGAACAAAUGACAUUUGAUUAAGAACAAAAAUACUAUGUAACAGUGCUCUGCGAAUUUUAUAGUAUUAUAGUUUUUUUUUUUGUCUGGUGAUCUCCUAUUCAGGACGAUCCAUAUGUUUCACUUCAAUAGUUCAUAAGAAUAUUAUAGGAGAAGCCUCAAGUGAUCCCUUAUUCAGAACGAUUAGAAAUCUCCGUAUGUUUAACUGAAUAAAAUAUUAACGAAAAUGUACAAUUGAAUGUUCAAUGCAGGAAAAGCCAUAUGAUUAUGAAUA